rnacentral:tRNA from 1 species
GUCGGGAUAGCUCWGCUGGUAGAGCAG